UACGGGGGGAGCAAGCGUUGUUCGGAUUUACUGGGCGUAAAGGGCGCGUAGGCGGCCAGCACAAGUCAGUUGUGAAAUCUCCGAGCUUAACUCGGAAAGGUCAACUGAUACUGUGCGGCUAGAGUGCGGAAGGGGCAACUGGAAUUCUUGGUGUAGCGGUGAAAUGCGUAGAUAUCGAGAGGAACACCUGCGGCGAAGGCGGGUUGCUGGGCUGAUACUGACGCUGAGGCGCGAAAGCCAGGGGAGCGAACGGG
rnacentral:rRNA from 1 species